rnacentral:rRNA from 1 species
GACGAACGCUGGCGGCGUGCCUAAUACAUGCAAGUUGAGCGCUGAAGGUUGGUACUUGUACCAACUGGAUGAGCAGCGCACGGGUGAGUAACGCGUGGGGAAUCUGCCUUUGAGCGGGGGACAACAUUUGGAAACGAAUGCUAAUACCGCAUAAAAACUUUAAACACAAGUUUUAAGUUUGAAAGAUGCAAUUGCAUCACUCAAAGAUGAUCCCGCGUUGUAUUAGCUAGUUGGUGAGGUAAAGGCUCACCAAGGCGAUGAUACAUAGCCGACCUGAGAGGGUGAUCGGCCACAUUGGGACUGAGACAGGGCCCAAACUCCUACGGGAGGCAGCAGUAGGGAAUCGUCGGCAAUGGACGAAAGUCUGACCGAGCAACGCCGCGUGAGUGAAGAAGGUUUUCGGAUCGUAAAACUCUGUUGGUAGAGAAGAACGUUGGUGAGAGUGGAAAGCUCAUCAAGUGACGGUAACUACCCAGAAAGGGACGGCUAACUACGUG